rnacentral:lncRNA from 1 species
GUCACCCACUCAGAGUAAAGAACAUCUGAAAGGUAUAGAAUCCCUGAAAGUCAAUGAAAAACAGUCCCCUUCCAGAGCCAUUUCCAAGGAGCCAGAAGAUUCUGUUACUGCUGUCUUCCUGCAGGACUGUAGCACUGGCAUGAUCUUUCAAGACUGUGGCCCAGAGGUCCUGCUGGAGGCAGAUCUCCUAGCCUCUCAGGCCUCACAGUCAGGCUUCAGGACUAGGUCCACUACCAGCAAAACAUCCUCCAGGGACAUGUACCCUUACUUUUCAAGAGGAGGGAAUGUGCCCAAGAAUAUUAAAUCUGAAGAACCAUGGACUAGCCAUAUCUAUGAUCUAACUAAAUACAAAGAGGGCUUUAGGGGCCCCAGGCAAGAUAGACACCUUUCACAGACAAGACCUGCCCAAGCCUGCUGGUCAGAUACUCGUGAAAACAAUUCCUCCCCUCUACCAGAAAAAAAAAUUGGGGACAGGAUAAAAAGUUUUAUGACACACAUUAUGUCAAGUAAAAGUAAAGUGCAGGAGAACUUCCUGCACAAACACAAGGCCUCAUCAGUCACUUCCCUAAGUCAAGGCUCAGUCAUGAGAAGGGUGUUUCUGCCCCCACAGGUAGCUGAGGCUCAGGACUUCACGAUCUCGGUCAGGCCUAUUCUACAGGAGAAAGUGGGGGUUGGCCAUGACAGGACAGCCUCAAAGAAAAGUUUGCACAAAGACCCACCCCAGGCUCCUAUGGGCAGGCAUGUCUGCCUCCACAGGACUGCCACUGCAGAAAGACACGAAACACAAGGAAACACUCCCAAGGUACACAGCCAACCUUCCACAGACAAAUGGAUGGACUACACCUGCCAGGCCCAGCUGCUCAGAGAGUCUGUGAUCAGAACUCAAGCCUGUCAGCACAGGUUACAGCCACCAUGUUUCCCAGGCACCCCGGUCUACUCUCCGUGGCACUGCCUGUGCAGAAGUGAGCUGUCUAGAAAAGCAAAAGCUUUUCUACACCUAUCGGGAUAGGAAAUUUCCCCAUGAAAAACUAGUCUUUUCAAAAACAAAAACAAAAAAAUAAAACAAAACCAUGGUGUCCGAG